AUGCAGGAUUGUACUUAUUCCCCAUGACCUUGUGAAGCUGCUUGCUGAAACUCGAUCAUGUCUUGGAGGCUGAUAUAAAUCUCAUGCACGGAAAUCUGUCCUUCUAACGAGCUCUCGUGUGACAGGAACGCCCAUCCUUUGGCAAAGGCUAAAAUCAGCUCAUGUUUCAAGUGCAGAUUGGGCAAUGAUUGGAGGGACUCGGUAACAUCAAGCUGCCAUCGUUCCUGACCAUUGUCCAUGCUGCAUGAGGCUGAUGACAGCUGAACAUCUAGAGCAACAUCUGGAGCAACAUCAACACCUGGAGGACCACAGGUUUGCCAUCCUUUGUUUAAAGCUACCAUAAACAACUGUCUCCAUACUUUUCUGUCUAAAGGUAGUGUUAGGAGACUAUUCUAGGGCUGCCUGAUAAGCUGUGCUAAAGCACUGAGGAACAGCAUAGAAUCAGAGAAUUGCAGAGUUGGAAGUGACCUCAAGUCUUCUAGUCCAGCCCUCUA